ensembl:lncRNA
UUUUUUUUUUUUUUUUGAGAUUAUAAGUUGUAAGGACAGAAAAAAAUGGAGCUGCUUGAAGCAAUCUUUCCUGGCUCAGGGACAAAGCUGUUUUCGGUAGGAAAGAAGAAGGCCUAGGAAGAAAAAGCAAAGACAAGCAAAGCAAAGGACCAGAGAUGCGAGCCCAGUAAGUCCAAUUACUUGAGCUAAUAAAUCCCCCUUGGCUUGUUGUUUUCCUGGUUUAAAAUGAGUCUCUGUCACUUGCAACCAGAAGAUUCCUGACUCAUACAUUGAGAGAGACAGACAGCAACAGAGAGAGAGAGAGAGAGAAUGUGUGUAUGUGUGUGUGUGUGUGUGUGGUGUGUGUGUGUGUGUGUGUGUGUGUGUGUGUGUGUGUGUGUCUUAGUCCAGCAGAAAUUAAGAAUGACUGAGAAUUGGAUUUCUAUGUAGUUGAUAGUUAGGUGUUUAUUGUUUUCGCUUUCAUAGACGAAGAAAUAAAGACACAGAGAUUAAAUAAUCCUCCCAAUAUCAUACAGACAGAAAGUGACAAAGCCAGGAUUUAAUAUAUUUUGUCCCUAAGCCCUUAUUCAGUAUGAAUUCAAAUGGAAUAAUGAGACAAGAAAAAGCCUUUUGCACUGGGGUAUCCCCAAACUUAUCUGGUGUUUGGCCUGAUGGGUAGGAAGUGGGCAGAAGGAGCACAGCAAAAAUUCCCUUGCUCAGGGGGCCCUUCGCCAUCUAAGUUCUCUUCUUUUUUGACUCUCUCCCCCUAGCCUGGUGCUGGGAGGCCUGGUCUUACAGCAUCACACUGUCCCAUGUCUAAGGGCUUUGCAAGUCUGGGCUCUGUGACCUUCACGGCUGAGCUGGCAAAACGUAAAAGUCUUUUCUCUAGUUAUUUGCUCACUUGUUUCUGCUGAUCAGAAAUGAAGGGUUCUUUUUGGAACCUAGGGGUUUCUUUCUUGUUUUGUUCAUCCCUCUCUUCCUUCCUUCCUUCCUUCCUUCCUUCCUUCCCCCAUCUUUCUCCUUCCCUUCCUCUCUUGUCCUUUCUCCUUCCUUCCUUCCCAAGCUAUGUACUUGUUUAUUCUUUCAUUGUGUUGUGUGUCUGCAGGUGGGAGCGCGGGAAGCGCCAUCCUGGUUCUCAGUCCACCGAGUUAAUGAAAUUCCCCAGAGCUUUCCCACCCCCACCUUCCACCCGGUUCUUGGGUCCCUCGGACUGCCUUCCUUCUGACUUUAAGGAAACCUGAACCGUGAGAGUUCUAGAUGCGAUAUCAGGGGUGAGUUUGGAGAAGAGGGUUUGCAGGGCUGGGGAUUGCUCAAGGAUAGAUUGCAGACUGGAGAUGGUGCGUCUGGUCCUGCCUGUAUCCCGAGAAGCAUUGCAGAGAUCAGAUGAACCCUUUCUGUGAUGAGGAGCCCUAAUUAAUGCAGGCACUGAUUUGUUCUUCCCUGCUGAGGACUUCAGAUGAAUGAUUACUGGGUGCCACAUGUGUUAUCUCUUAUGUAUCUUUAAUAAAAAUAAUGAUGGCUACAAUUUCCAGUAGUCUCACCAUGUUCAGGAGCCCUGGGCAAAGCCCUUCACAUUCAUUAUUCCAUUUAACCCUCGCACCACCCGAUUAGGCAACUCUUGGGCAUUAUUUCCCUCACCACGUAGAGGAGGGAAUUGAGGCUCAAAGAAUCUCAGUACAUUUCCCAAGGUCACACUGCUAGAAAGAGGUAAGGUGGGUUUCACACCAGGGCUUGUUUGAUUUCAUAGCACUUAACCACUUGCCAUCGUGCUGUUAUGUUUUAAUGUUAAGGGGAAGUGAGAAAUUUAAUAAUAGAACUUGGGCAUGGAAGCAAUAAAAGUGAGGUAGCGCUGUUGCAUCACUCUUACAACUACCCUCUUUCGAGCCCCUUACCUCGCAGAGGUGCUCAGAAUACUGAUGGGGCUGGAUGAGCAAGAAGGGUGUGCCUGGGAAGGCGGCAGGCUCCCCAUUCCAAGGGUCCAGCCAAGUAAGGGAUGCUGUUCCUGUCUCAAGAUCCAGCAAGUAACUCUCAGAGAGCUUUAGGGUCAUGUCAUGGAGGAGAGGGCAAGAGGAGGUGAGCCGGGGUGGGCUGGGAAGAACUAGACACCAGCCAGCUCUGUGAUCUUGGGGACACUCCUUAACCUCUUUGUGCUUGCCUCUGUUUUAUAGCAUGGGGAGGUUAGGCUCUGUGUGUUGCAGGUUCAGGCAGCCUAUGAUGUAUCAGUUUUAAGGGAGGCCAACAGAGAAAGCUGUCCUGGAUGACACAGGCCAGGAAAGUUUCUGAGCCUGCCAGGCCCACCUGGGUGCUUGCCUUCCAAUGCUGUGUCAGCUCUCUGGCUUUCUGAUACCAUAUGGUUCCUCUAAACUGUGAAGCAUCGGCGGUCAGCUGUGUCCAGGGCUUUGCUCUGGCAGGGAGGUGAAGGGCUCGGACUCAAGUUCUCAUGCCCUUGCUUAUUCUCUGUGCCUUAGUUUCCUCAUUUGCAAAACGGGAGUAAUCCUGGAGCUUUUCUCGUGGGGUUGUCUGAGGACUGAAGGAAAUAUUCCUGUGAAUUCCUCAGCCUUCUUCCUUUGGCGCAGGGCGCAUGGACCUACUCCUUGGAAGUUAGCUGCCCCCAGCAGGAGUUAGACUUAAGUCAGCAAACAGUGGCUGAGCGCCUCCUAAGAGCCCGCCCCACAGGUCCAUGCUGGGGGGAACGCAAAGAGACCCAGCUGCGGCCCCUUGUCCCAGCAUAGCGGCUUGUGCUCACCAGAAGUGGAUGCUAAGGAGGAGUUUGGGGUGUGGGGUGUCUGUUGGGGAUCAACACCUAUGAAAAGGAGGAGUUGAAAGCAAGAUUGUGCAGAGGAAGAACUAGAAAUGUGACACAGGCCUGAAAAAACCUCGGCCAGCCCAGCAAGAAGCUCUGAAUCAAGAUUUGCCCCUAAGGGCAUCCUGCUUUGGACCAAAAUGGCCCGGCCUUCAUAUCCCUGCAUCACCCACUCACCAGAGGAGGGCCACCCCAGAAAGGCCAUGACCCUGGGCGAGGCAGCUCAGGCAGACCCUGCAGGGCUGUCACCUGCAGGCUGUCUGCACGGCUGGACAGCAGGUCUGCUCUUGAAGGGGGAUCUGAGCCGUGUGAUGGGGUCCUGGCACACUUAAGGAGUUUAUAAAUAGAGGCCAUGGGGAGAUGACACAACCAGAUCACAGGUUGACUGGGGCAAGGUUCCCAGAGCCUGGCUGAGCCAGGGACCGUCAGGCACAACUCAGGUUCCUCUCGAGAACCAAUGGAAAAGUAGGAGCUUUGUGUCCUAGGCCAUGUUGGAGCACUGCAAGCCUACAGAGGGAGGUUAAGGCCAAGGUCAGAAACCUGGGAGAAGAAGAAGCCAGGGCUAGCAGCCCUCAUGUCCUGACCUAUCUUCAGGCCGUGGAUGGGUAUUGGCUGUAUGGCAUGCUGGGGAGCCUGAAGGCCUCAAGGCUAGACAUAGGCCCAAUUACGUACAUAAAAAUUAAAGGGGUGUUAUGAGGGAGAAGCCAAACACUUUCUAUGGCCCCCAGAAGAUACCUGGAAGUAAAAGUGGAGCCAAAUUCUAAAAUCGGUGAGAAAGAUCACACAAAUGGCCCCACUCCUUCUCUGACUCCCUGUUAAUGUGUCUUCUUAUCCUCCCACCACACCGCAUCAUCUGUUAUCUGGGCAUCAGGGUCUUAACCACAGCAAUGAUCUCAACAUGUUAAGCGGGGGGAAUGGCUUCCCACCUUGGCCCUCUUAGAAAUUUGGAGAUACAGGCUGGAGGCAUGUUGGUCAGGGCCUUGCAUGCCCAGACAAGGAAGGCGCACUUACUCUGGCAAGGACUGGGGAGUCCCUGAAGACUUGGGGAUCUGGAGACUGAUGGAGAGAUUGAACCUCAGCUUUAGCAGGCUCCAUUGGCUAGCAAAACGGGGAGGGCCUUUCUUUUGGUUGUGAGAUAUUAAUGGGAGGAACAUUCAGAAUUUUUAUGCAUAACCUAGAUUGGGUCUCCCAGAAGGAAACCUUGAGAGGAGGACUAGUGUGCGAGUGAUUGAGGAAGGAAGUGCUUCCAGGGGAGACCCGCAAGGGACAACGGGAAGCAGGAAAAAGAAAAGAGAAGGGAAGGAACCAAGCAGGCCGUGCACUCAGGCAGGUCCCUGCCUGGCCCGAAUCACAGGGCAGCUCUGC